GACGAACGCUGGCGGCGUGCUUAACACAUGCAAGUCGUACGGUAAGGCCCUUUCGGGGGUACACGAGUGGCGCACGGGUGAGUAACACGUGAGUAACCUGCCCACAACUUUGGGAUAACGCUAGGAAACUGGUGCUAAUACUGGAUAUGUGCUCCUGCUGCAUGGUGGGGGUUGGAAAGCUCCGGCGGUUGUGGAUGGACUCGCGGCCUAUCAGCUUGUUGGUGGGGUAGUGGCCUACCAAGGCGGCGACGGGUAGCCGGCCGGGGAGGGUGACCGGCCACAUUGGGACUGAGAUACGGCCCAGACGCCUACGGGAGGCAGCAGUGGGGAAUAUUGCACAAUGGGCGCAAGCCUGAUGCAGCAACGCCGCGGGCGGGAUGACGGCCUUCGGGUUGUAAACCGCUUUCAGCAGGGACGAAGCUUUUUGUGACGGUACCUGCAGAAGAAGCACCGGCUAACUACGUG
rnacentral:rRNA from 1 species